rnacentral:rRNA from 1 species
GAUGAACGCUGGCGGCGUGCCUAAUACAUGCAAGUCGAACGAAAACACGAGCAGCUCUCGCCUUUAACGUUAGCGGCGGGCGGAUGGGUGACACGUGCAUAACCUACCUAUAAGUCUGGGAGGAUUUCGUAGAAACGCAGAUAAUACUGCAUCAUAUGAUUAACCGCUUUAUUCAAUAGAGAAUUACGCUUUUCCUGUCACUCUUAGAUGGUUCCGCGCCGCAUAGUCUAGUGGGUAAGGUAACGGCUUACCAAGGCAACGUUGCGUAGCAGACCUGAGAGGGUGAUCAGCCACACUGGAACUGAGACACGGUCCAGACUCCUACGGGAGGCAGCAGUGGGGAAUCUUCCGCAAUGGGCGGAAGCCUGAUCCAGCAACACCGCGUGAGUGAAGAAGGCCUUCGGAUUGUAAAGCUCUGUUGUUAGGGAAGAAAAGAAGUAUGAGUAACUGUGGACGUCUUGACGGUACCCAAACAAAAAGCACCGGCUAACUACGUG